rnacentral:rRNA from 1 species
AGUGAACGCUGGCGGUAGGCCUAACACAUGCAAGUCGAACGGCAGCACAGUAAGAGCUUGCUCUUACGGGUGGCGAGUGGCGGACGGGUGAGGAAUACAUCGGAAUCUACUUUUUCGUGGGGGAUAACGUAGGGAAACUUACGCUAAUACCGCAUACGACCUACGGGUGAAAGCAGGGGAUCUUCGGACCUUGCGCGAUUGAAUGAGCCGAUGUCGGAUUAGCUAGUUGGCGGGGUAAAGGCCCACCAAGGCGACGAUCCGUAGCUGGUCUGAGAGGAUGAUGGGCCACACUGGAACGGAGGCACGGCCCACACGCCUACGGGAGGCAGCAGUGGGGAAGAUUGGACAAUGGUGGCAGGCCUGAUCCAGCCAUGCCGCGGGGGUGAAGAUGGCCUUCUGGUUGUAAAGCCCUUUUGUUGGGAAAGAAAAGCAGCAGGUUAAUACCCCGCUGUUCUGACGGUACCUAAAGAAUAAGCACCGGCUAACUACGUG